GAUGAAGAACGCAUCGAAAUGCGAUACUUGGUGUGAAUUGCAGAAUCCCGUGAACCAUCGAGUCUUUGAACGCAAGUUGCGCCCGAAGCCAUCAGGUUGAGGGCACGUCUGCCUGGGCGUCACAUAUCGUUGCCCAAUGCCUAUUGCAGUGCAAUAGGAAUUUCUAGGGCGAAUGAUGGCUUCCCGUGAGCGUUGUUGCCUCGCGGUUGGUUGAAAAUCGAGUCCUUGGUAGGGUGUGCCAUGGUAGAUGGUGGUCGAGUUAGAACGAUACCGAUCAUGUGCAUGCUCCCCAAAAUAUGGCCUCUAUGACCCACACGCGUCUUUUGACGCUCAUGACGAGACCUCAGGUCAGGCGGGGCUACCCGCUGAAUUUAAGCAUAUCAAUAAGCGGAGGA
rnacentral:misc_RNA from 1 species